GUAUAUUAAAGUUGUUGCGGUUAAAAAGCUCGUAGUUGGAUUUCUGUUGAGGAGGUCCGGUCCGCAUCUUAGUGCGUGUAUCUGGUUCCGCCUUGGCAUCUUCUUGUGGAACGCGUUGCGAUUGAUUUCGUGACCGGUACAUAAGACAUUUACUUUGAGGAAAUUAGAGUGUUUCAGGCAGGCUUGCGCCUUGAACAUAUUAGCAUGGAAUAAUAAUAUAAGACCAGCGUCUAAUUAUUGGUUUUUGGGUGCUGGUAAUGAUUAAUAGGGAUAAUUGGGGGCAUUUGUAUUAACGCGUCAGAGGUGGAAUUCUUGGAUUGCGUUACGACAAACUAAUGCGAAAGCAUUUGCCAAGGAUGUUUUCAUUGAUCAAGAACGAAGGUGUGGGGAUCGAAAACGAUUAGAUACCGUUGUAGUCUACACCAUAAACUAUGCCAACUAGAGAUUGGGCGUCGUUAUUUACAAGACUCGCUCAGCACCUUAUGAGAAAUCAAAGUUUUUUGGUUCCGGGGGGAGUCUGGUCGCAAGGCUGAAACUUAAAGGAAUUGAC
rnacentral:rRNA from 1 species